AAUUUCUUAAUGGGUAGUGGAUACAUAAGUAACUAGAAUUUAGAACAGUUUCUGCUGUCUUACAGCUAUGCUAACCUUGUUUCUCACUGGGCCUUCCUAGAUCUAUACUGGGAAAUGUUUUAGAAUUGUAUCAGUGUAGCUUGUGAUCAUCAUAGGACCAUCAUUAAUAGACACAGUAAUAGCAGAAUGAUGUUGACAAUAAGAAAUGACAUUAGUAGAACUUGGGUGAAAUCUUGAGUUAGGUUAAAUCUUGAAGAGACUCCCAGUCAAAGUUAAAAGCCACAAAUUAGAUGUAACUUUGAAUAUCAGAAUGUACAUGGCAUUAAUGUUUGGCUUGUAGACAUUUAGUGCUGGAGAUUUCAGAACCUAGUAAAAGGGUGUAUACCAAAUGUAUAUUAUUGUUAUGUCAAGGACUUUGAGUGAAGGAAACUUGUUACUUUAGUGUUGCUUGGUGUUGGCAUUCUUUUCUAUCAGUUAACUUCACAUUAAUCCUCACGCAUUGAAAGUUACUUUAGUAAAGAAGACCUUUAGUUUUCUAUGAGAAAUGGCAGAUUCUGUGUAAUUAUCUAACAUUGAGAAUUAUCACUUUAAAGGCUAUGAGGUCAUGGUACACACAUUUAAUCCCAGCACUUGGGGAAGAGGGGUGGGCACAGACACAGAUGGACCUCUGAGUUGGAUGCCAGUCUGGUUGACAGAACUUAAGGACAGCCAGGGCUACACAGAGGAACCCUGUCUGGACAAAGAAAAAAAAAAAGUAGUAGUGCUCCGCCCCCCUCCAAACCUAUAGUUUGUAGACAAGCCUUUCUACUGACACCAGAGUAAGGAGAGUGACUGUCUUGGUAAGUAGUGUUUUGUGAUGACUAAUUUUUGUGCUGUGACAUUUGAAUGCAUUAAGUCCCAGUGAGCUUUGUGGGGCCUUCAGCCCCUUUAACUAGGCUCAGGCUGCUUUGCCUUCUGAAUUAUUCAGUCUCAUUUUUGCUUCCUAUCCCUUCUUUGUUGGUUGGCUGGCAACUUCUGCAUUUCUAUGCUUUGAGCAUGUGUAAGCAGACUUUUACCACAUAAUUGGCACACAACUCAUAUGGGCUUGGUAAUAAAUCGCUGAGUUGUGCUAGAAUUACUUAUUUGAAAAGAGCUGGCUCUACAGCCAUUUGUGUUUCCCAAGGCUUUGUUCUUUUUUUUUUUUUUUUUUUUUCUACACAGUAAGCCUACACAUUUGAGCAGAAACAUGUACUUUGACAUAUAAACAACUCAUUCUCAGCAUAAUAUGUUUAAAGAUUAUUUUACAUCCCAGAAUAUGCUCCCUAUCAUUUCUCUUUAUUAAAACAUACUUAUCAAAUACUAGAUUUUUGUGCUUGAUUUGAGAAUCCUAAACUGUAAUUUAAAUUUGCUCAGACUUAGAUUUGGUCUUGAAAACCUUUGCCAUAGCUUCGAGAGGUAUAAACACAGGACUUUGUAUUCCUUGUGGUAGUGGUCAUAGGACCAAGGAAUUCAAAUUCUUUUUUUUUUUUUUCUUUUUAAAGUUGAAUGUUCCUAGUCUAAAGAUGUUUAAUUUAGAGUGCUCCAAAUGAAUCUUUUCGAAGCUCCAGUAUAGUACCACACAUGGGAAUCCCAUCCUGGACAUUGUGUUGCUGGGUGGUUGACAAGGUGCAGGCUCACUAAAUGCUGUAUUAAGGGAAUUUCAGGCUAGCCUAAGGAAAAUUUAUGUUUAGGCUUGGAUCCUAUUCCCAAGAAACUUUGCUAUGGUUUGGUGACACUUAAUUUAAUCCGAGCAUGUGGGUGGCUCAGGAGGUUGAAUCAGACAGAAUUUGAGACCAGCUUGGUCUGUCUACCUACAGAGUUCUAGGCCAACUAAGGCUACACAGUGUGACCUUGUCUAAAAAAUUAAAAACAACAACAAAAACCCCAUAUGUAUCAAAUUUUUCUAAAAUGGAAAAAAAAAAAAAACCAGACAUUUAAAACACCUGUUUCAGGCAUUUUAGAUCAGGGAAGCAGCUUGUGUUCGCCUUAGAUGUGUUUCAAGGACUUGAGGUUCACAUAUGCUUUUUAAGCAUGCAUACAUAUAGGUAAAGUUGGGUAUUUGAUUCAGCUGUGUUAAUUUUUGUCUCAUUUCAAGUGGCUUCUGAUUUGAAAGGCUACUCUGGGUUAAUGUGGGUUAAUGUUUUCAAACAUUCAUCCACUCACAGGAUGAGCUGCUAUUAUCUCUCCUCCUCCUUCAGGAGACUCUCCUGAUUGAAGACUCAACUUGAAGUAAUUAUUUGUCCUAUUUCAGUUAUUUAAACUAUCUGUGACUGUUGCAGUCUGUUAUGGUAAAUGAAAAGGUAAACUUAAAAGCUUCCUGUAUUGCACAGAUGCGGUAAGUAAUAGGAGUGCCUUGAAAACCUCUGCGAUAGGUUGGAGAGAUGUAGACAAAGGACUUUGUAUUCCUUGCAGUAGUGGUCACAGGACCAAGGCUUUCAAAUUCU
rnacentral:lncRNA from 1 species